GCCAAAACUCAAAGUAUGCCAAACACCACCAAAUUUACACCAUUGACUCGCCUUAACCUUCUCAUCCCAAAUACCUAAGCCGUGUUCCUCGAAUCUCGCCGGAAUUAUUCGAAUUUGGAUUUAAAUUUUUAAGGCCAAAAACCCUAACCCAAAAUCUUUGUGAUUUUGGACUGUAAUAUCCUUAACCAUGUGUUUUCUUGUGAAAACACAUGGUUAGGGAUUUUACGUGUCAAAAAUUCUAAAUGAUUAGGACGUCGAUGGCUGACGGCGUUUCUCUUGGCAUCAGUGAGUUUUCGUUUUCCUCUCUUCUGUUUGCUUCUAAAUGAUUAGGACGUCGAUGGCUGACGGCGUUUCUCUUGGCAUCAGUGAGUUUUCGUUUUCUUCUCUUCUGUUUGCUUCUAUUCUAAUACUUGCUAAUGUCUAAGUUUUUGUCAACUAUGUUUGGAUUCCAUGUUUUGAUUUAUGGCUUGAUUCUAAUUUAUUUUGUUCUUGAUUUUAGUUUGAUUGGCAUAUUAGAAUUUACUCUUUUUCGAUUCAAGAAGUUAGUUUAGGUUUUGAUUAGUUUAAGUUUAAUCAGGAUAAUUGUUCUUCACUUUAGUUUGCUAAUGGUAAGUCAGUGUUAUGUGUUUUUUUGAUAAUUGGUCAUUGGUUAAUCGGGCUUUGAUCGUUGGAUUUAGAAUUUGAUUUGGGUUGAUUUCAGUAUUACCAGCUUGUAAAUUGUUCAUGUGUUACUUGGUAAGUUGUUUGGUUGUAACUGAAAGGUUUUGGGUCAGGUAGUAAUUUUAGGAGAUACUAAGGGUAGUCUGGGGAAUGAACAAGGGGAAUAAAUUCAGAACUAUGGGAAAUCACAUGUGAGGGUAGUCUAGGUCUUAUUUGGGGAAGGGCAGGUGAUAGUAGCUUCUAGCAUUUUAUUUACCUAUAAAUAAGCAUUGAAUUGCCUUGAGAGAGGGUCUUCUUUUUUAGCCAUUAUUAACUCCCAAAAACUCUGGCCAUUAUAGAUUUCAGAUCUGAAGUAGCUUUCUAAUUCAAAAACCAAAAUACAAAACCAAAAAGUUCAAAAAAAAACUAAAAAAUGUUAUUGUUCCAUUAGGCAUUGAGUGACUUUCAAUUCUCAACUUUCGAUUUACCACUUCCUAGUUCAGAUUUUGGUUGUCAUGACUUAGCAGUCUCCUAGAUCCAUUUCUGUUGGUUUUUGAGUUCAUUUGAAUCAGUUUGGGCCCUUCAGUUGAUGCAGUAGUUGAGUAGUGUGUUACUUAGUGUUUGGUGAAGCUAUUUUGUAUUAAAUCACACCUGUUUGGUUGUUGCUGUUUGAGAUUAGUUUCUGGUGUUUAAUUCUCCCUAAGCUGCUGAAUAUUGUUCUUGGAUACUGCUGUUGUUUCACCUGCUUCUGCUAACUCCUUCUUCUUUCGCUGUAAUUCGAAAACCAGGUACAUAUCCUGAAGUUUGACACCAUGUAUCUUCAUUUCACUGGAAAUAUGAAUCAGGAUUGAAGUGAACUAUCUGCUGUGGA
rnacentral:lncRNA from 1 species